UUCCAGACUCCUACGGGAGGCAGCAGUGGGGGAUAUUGCACAAUGGGGGAAACCCUGAUGCAGCGACGCCGCGUGAGCGAUGAAGUAUUUCGGUAUGUAAAGCUCUAUCAGCAGGGAAGAAGAUGACGGUACCUGACUAAGAAGCCCCGGCUAACUACGUGCCAGCAGCCGCGGUAAUACGUAGGGGGCAAGCGUUAUCCGGAUUUACUGGGUGUAAAGGGAGCGUAGACGGCGAUGCAAGCCAGAUGUGAAAGCCCGGGGCUCAACCCCGGGACUGCAUUUGGAACUGUGUGGCUGGAGUGUCGGAGAGGCAGGCGGAAUUCCUAGUGUAGCGGUGAAAUGCGUAGAUAUUAGGAGGAACACCAGUGGCGAAGGCGGCCUGCUGGACGAUGACUGACGUUGAGGCUCGAAAGCGUGGGGAGCAAACAGGAUUAGAUACCCGAGUAA
rnacentral:rRNA from 1 species